CGUGUAGGCGGCAAUACAAGUCUGGUGUGAAAUAUUCUGGCUCAACCGGAAAGACGCGCUGGAAACUGUAUUGCUUGAGUUUAGGAGGGGGAGCUGGAAUUCCAGGUGUAGGGGUGAAAUCUGUAGAGAUCUGGAAGAACACCGGAGGCGAAGGCGAGCUCCUGGCCAUAGACUGACGCUGAGGCGCGAAAGCGUGGGGAGCGAACAGGAUUAGAUACCCUGGUAGUCC
rnacentral:rRNA from 1 species